AGAGUUUGAUCAUGGCUCAGGAUGAACGCUAGCUACAGGCUUAACACAUGCAAGUCGAGGGGAAACGACAUCGAAAGCUUGCUUUUGAUGGGCGUCGACCGGCGCACGGGUGAGUAACGCGUAUCCAACCUGCCCACCACUUGGGGAUAACCUUGCGAAAGUAAGACUAAUACCCAAUGAUAUCUCUAGAAGACAUCUGAAAGAGAUUAAAGAUUUAUCGGUGAUGGAUGGGGAUGCGUCUGAUUAGCUUGUUGGCGGGGUAACGGCCCACCAAGGCGACGAUCAGUAGGGGUUCUGAGAGGAAGGUCCCCCACAUUGGAAACUGAGACCACGGUCCAAACUCCGUACGGGAGGCA
rnacentral:rRNA from 1 species